rnacentral:lncRNA from 1 species
GAAGCGGAUACCAUGAUUGAAGAAAGGAUGCAGCCUGGCCACGCUUCUUCAAACUGCCAAAGCCAAUUUUGAAAUGCUUGGGAUGACCUCGGCCUAUAUUAUUGUGAACCAAUAUAGUAUAUAUAUUAUUCUAUUAAAACAAAAAAAUAUAUAUAUAUCUAUCUGUAAUGCAUCAAUUUUGUUUAUUGAAAAAUACUUUGAAGUGCCCGUUAUGUGC